UACGAAGGAUCCAGGCGUUGUCCGGAUUUACUGGGUUUAAAGGGAGCGUAGGCGGAUAUAUAAGUCAGUGGUGAAAGCCUUCAGCUUAACUGAAGAAUUGCCAUUGAAACUGUGUGUCUCGAGUAUGGUUGAGGUCACUGGAAUGUAACAUGUAGCGGUGAAAUGCUUAGAUAUGUUACAGAACACCAAUUGCGAAGGCAGGUGACUAGGCCAUAACUGACGCUGAGGCUCGAAAGCGUGGGGAGCAAACAGG
rnacentral:rRNA from 1 species